rnacentral:rRNA from 1 species
CCUACGGGGUGCAGCAGUGAGGAAUAUUGGUCAAUGGACGAGAGUCUGAACCAGCCAAGUAGCGUGAAGGAUGACUGCCCUAUGGGUUGUAAACUUCUUUUAUAAAGGAAUAAAACGAGGCACGUGUGCCCUUUUGCAUGUACUUUAUGAAUAAGGAUCGGCUAACUCCGUGCCAGCAGCCGCGGUAAUACGGAGGAUCCGAGCGUUAUCGGGAUUUAUUGGGUUGAAAGGGAGCGUAGAUGGGUUGUUAAGUCAGUUGUGAAAGUUUGCGGCUCAACCGUAAAAUUGCAAUUGAUACUGGCAGUCUUGAGUACAGUUGAGGUAGGCGGAAUUCGUGGUGUAGCGGUGAAAUGCUUAGAUAUCACGAAGAACCCCGAUUGCGAAGGCAGCUUACUAAACUGUGACUGACAUUGAUGCUCGAAAGUGUGGGUAUCAAACAGGAUUAGAUACCCGGGUAGUC